CUCCUACGGGAGGCAGCAGUGGGGAAUAUUGCACAAUGGGCGGAAGCCUGAUGCAGCAACGCCGCGUGCGGGAUGACGGCCUUCGGGUUGUAAACCGCUUUCGCCUGUGACGAAGCGUGAGUGACGGUAAUGGGUAAAGAAGCACCGGCUAACUACGUGCCAGCAGCCGCGGUGAUACGUAGAGUGCGAGCGUUGUCCGGAUUUAUUGGGCGUAAAGGGCUCGUAGGUGGUUGAUCGCGUCGGAAGUGUAAUCUUGGGGCUUAACCCUGAGCGUGCUUUCGAUACGGGUUGACUUGAGGAAGGUAGGGGAGAAUGGAAUUCCUGGUGGAGCGGUGGAAUGCGCAGAUAUCAGGAGGAACACCAGUGGCGAAGGCGGUUCUCUGGGCCUUUCCUGACGCUGAGGAGCGAAAGCGUGGGGAGCGAACAGGCUUAGAUACCCUGGUAGUCCACGCUGUAAACGGUGGGUACUAGGCGUGGGGUCCAUUCCACGGGUUCCGUGCCGUAGCUAACGCUUUAAGUACCCCGCCUGGGGAGUACGGCCGCAAGGCUAAAACUCAAAGGAAUUGACGGGGCCCCGCACAAGCGGCGGAGCAUGCGGAUUAAUUCGAUGCAACGCGUAGAACCUUACCUGGUCUUGACAUAGUGAGAAUCCUGCAGAGAUGCGGGAGUGCCUUCGGGAAUUCACAUACAGGUGCUGCAUGGCUGUCGUCAGCUCGUGUCGUGAGAUGUUGGGUUAAGUCCCGCAACGAGCGCAACCCUUUUCCUUAUUUGCCAGCGGGUUAAGCCGGGAACUUUAAGGAUACUGCCAGUGACAAACUGGAGGAAGGUGGGGGAUGACGUCAAGUCAUCAUGGCCCUUACGACCAGGGCUACACACGUGCUACAAUGGUCGGUACAAAGGGUUGCUACCUAGCGAUAGGAUGCUAAUCUCAAAAAGCCGAUCGUAGUCCGGAUUGGAGUCUGCAACUCGACUCCAUGAAGUCGGAAUCGCUAGUAAUCGCGGAUCAGAAUGCCGCGGUGAAUACGUUCCCGGGCCUUGUACACACCGCCCGU
rnacentral:rRNA from 1 species